rnacentral:rRNA from 1 species
AGACCGAUAGCGAACAAGUAGAGUGAUCGAAAGAUGAAAAGCACUUUGAAAAGAGAGUUAAAAAGCACGUGAAAUUGUUGAAAGGGAAGCGCUUGCGACCAGACUCGCCUCCAGGGUUCAGCCGGCAUUCGUGCCGGUGUACUUCCCUGGGGGCGGGCCAGCGUCGGUUUGGGCGGCCGGUCAAAGGCUCCCGGAAUGUAGUGCCCUUCGGGGCACCUUAUAGCCGGGAGUGCAAUGCACCAGCCUGGACCGAGGAACGCGCUUCGGCACGGAC